rnacentral:rRNA from 1 species
AGCGGACCGACGGGAGCUUGCUCCCUUAGGUCAGCGGCGGACGGGUGAGUGACACGUGGGUAACCUGCCUGUAAGACUGGGAUAACUCCGGGAAACCGGGGCUAAUACCGGAUGCUUGAUUGAACCGCAUGGUUCCAAUCAUAAAAGGUGGCUUUUAGCUACCACUUACAGAUGGACCCGCGGCGCAUUAGCUAGUUGGUGAGGUAACGGCUCACCAAGGCGACGAUGCGUAGCCGACCUGAGUGGGUGAUCGGCCACACUGGGACUGAGACACGGCCCAGACUCCUACGGGAGGCAGCAGUAGGGAAUCUUCCGCAAUGGACGAAAGUCUGACGGAGCAACGCCGCGUGAGUGAUGAAGGUUUUCGGAUCGUAAAACUCUGUUGUUAGGGAAGAACAAGUACCGUUCGAAUAGGGCGGCACCUUGACGGUACCUAACCAGAAAGCCACGGCUAACUACGUGCCAGCAGCCGCGGUAAUACGUAGGUGGUAAGCGUUGUCCGGAAUUAUUGGGCGUAAAGCGCGCGCAGGCGGUUUCUUAAGUCUGAUGUGAAAGCCCCCGGCUCAACCGGGGGGGGUCAUUGGAAACUGGGGAACUUGAGUGCAGAAGAGGAGAGUGGAACUCCACGUGUAGCGGUGAAAUGCGUAGAGAUGUGGAGGUACACCAGUGGCGAAGGCGACUCUCUGGUCUGUAACUGACGCUGAGGCGCGAAAGCGUGGGGAGCGAACAGG